CUUCUUCACUGUGAAGCAAACACAAGCUUUGGACAGAAGAGGAGAACACACAAAACAACAUCUCGAUGCAAAGCUCUCUCGAAUAAGCGGGAGAGUCACCGGAAGAUUGUCGGAGAUUUGUCCAGCAGGUGACAUCUCCAUCUCCAUAUCAGCUUCUGCUCCAACAACAUGAUUCGUCUCCAUCUGUACGAUAAUCAUAGUGAGCCAGGUGUCUCGGCUAUUCCAAGGCUGGACCUAACAUUCAGUAUAAGGCGUGAACAAACCCUAACAAAGUAUGCAGCAAGUGAGAGAAUCCGCAUAUCAUCUUGACCAACAUGGCCAAACCACUACAACCACUUGGUUAGUAUAUAGGAGGGUUGUAGUAAACACUACACCGGGUUUAAUUUUGACAAUGUAGAAUCAUAUUGAUAUUUCUUAUAUGAAGACAAGUUUUCUGGAGUUUUACAUUUCCUAGAGGCAACAAAGAAACAAGGUUGAGUUAUUGGCAAUAUUCAUGACAAAAAGACCCAAGAUACAAAGGUUGUGUGAUUUGUCAAUUUGCACAACAAAAAUUACAAGGUUGUGGAUUCAUGUUGAGGACACAGUCUUGUAUAUAGGCACACAUCCAUUAAAAGAUUAAGAGCGAUAGUUGAUAAACAAUAACAUAAAUAUAUAUGUAGCACAGCUAUGUGAGGUAACUACUAGGGUAGGAAACUAUUAACCUUUGGAUAAUUAAUCUUCAAGUAAGAAAAUCCAUAAAAAGGAGAGAAAUCAUUAUAAAAAACAUGUAUAUUAAUCCAUAAAAAGAUUAAUAUUUUAGUCAUAGUUUUACAAGUAAUGUGACAUACAUUUGAACCAAAAUUAUUAUUGAUCUAUGGUACUAAUUUUAUUUAUAAAUCUCCCGGGAAUGUAUAUGUAUGCAAAUCCAAGAGAGCAAUGAGUUUUAGUCUAAAAAUAGUCCAGUUAAUGUACAUUAUGUGCGGCACAAAGUGUUAAAGAUGCACACAACAAUUGCAAUUAAUCGCAAUCGAUACCAGAUCACAUAGCUUAAGUAGCAUAUGUGCGGUAAGGACUAAUUGCGAGGCUAAGUUUUUUAAAGCUACCAAUAUUCACAAGUACUAUAUAUAAUCAAUUAGAAACACUAAUUUGGAUAAUCAUCAAGUGAUAGGUCCAUGACAAAGAGAGAAACCCAUAGAAGAUCAACAAUCAGUAACUGCACAAUGUGGUAUGCAUUAUUCAGCAUUUAACCCCAUUGAAAUUCUAUGGAUCUCUCGGAUUUGCAUAGAUCUCCCGAAGGUACAUUGCACUGGAUACAAAUCCAAAGAGAUCUAAUGAAUUUUAAUCACUUAGAAAAAAGAGAGAUCCAGCAAUUCUGACAUAAAAACUAAUCAGAAACAUAGGGAAUUAAUCCCUAAAGCCAAGUAGCAAUCAAAGACGGCUUGAAACUUCACUAGACAACAUCGAGUACGCAGCAGAACGUGUCAAGCAAAUCUCAAAUGACAUGCAAAAAAUUUCCAAAUAAAAUAAAAUCCAUGCAGAAAAAAAUUUAAGGAAAAAGAGAGAGAGAUAGAGAGAGAAAAGAAGAGAAAAAAGUAAGAAGCUUAAGCUCAACACGACAUUGUUCUUCCAUAGAUUUAGUUAUCUCAUGUAUCUCACAUGGUCAUAGAAAAAACACUAACAAAGACCGAACCGAGUAAAACAACAAGAGAUUCGCCGGAAAAAUCAAACUAUACAUUAAUUGUUUUUUAUUUUUUAUUUUGUUUGUGUCUUUUUAAAAUAUUUAUUUUUCUUCAAAAACAAAGUAAAGAGAAAGCACAAAACCGAAGCUUAAAGGGGAAAAAAAAACGAGAACCCAGAUAAGGAAAA